rnacentral:rRNA from 1 species
GGGCCAGUAGGUUGGUCGUGCCACCGGUACGUACUGGUCUCACUGAUUCCUCCUUCCUGAAGAACCGUAAUGCCAUUAAUUUGGUGUUGCGGGGAAACAGGACUGUUACUUUGAAAAAAUUAGAGUGUUUAAAGCAAUCUAACGCUUGAAUACAUUAGCAUGGAAUAAUGAAAUAGGACGAUCGAUCCUAUUUUGUUGGUUUCUAGGAUUGACGUA